rnacentral:rRNA from 1 species
UACGGAGGGUGCAAGCGUUGCUCGGAAUCACUGGGCGUAAAGGGCGCGUAGGCGGAUCUUUAAGUCGGGGGUGAAAGCCUGUGGCUCAACCACAGAAUUGCCUUCGAUACUGGGGAUCUCGAGACCGGAAGAGGUGAGUGGAACUGCGAGUGUAGAGGUGAAAUUCGUAGAUAUUCGCAAGAACACCAGUGGCGAAGGCGGCUCACUGGUCCGGUUCUGACGCUGAGGCGCGAAAGCGUGGGGAGCAAACAGG